rnacentral:lncRNA from 1 species
GCAAUCUUGAUAAUGGCAAGUGAGAUCACAUUCCUCAGGAGAUGCAAAAGGAGAGAUCUCUCAGCCUUCCACUUCAGUUACAGACUGCACACCUUCUUAAAAAAGGUUGAAUACGAAUUGUCCCAAAUCAACUUAUAGUUUCCGACCAUACAUGUGCAGAAGUUUCCUUGGUCAGACUCAUAGCGCUGGUAAACUUUUUCCCAUUAUCCCAAGCGAUGUACGAGUUUAUUGAGUCCACAGUCAAAGAAACCUUAUAAGAAUUUUACAUAAGUUUUUGCCAGCUGCAACACUUAUCUCUUUGUGUUCAUCACUUUUCCUUGUUUCUAAUGACACCAGUAGUGUCUGACUGAUAUUAAGAAUGGUGAAUUUGCGAAGACCUCACCCAUAAAUUUGAUGAACCUCUCAAACUCAGUGGUGUAGACAUCAAUAGCUUGUUCCAAGAAAGCAACAUGUUGCCUCUUUAAAUUUCACAAGGUGGUCCAUAACGUUGUCGUUGCUCUUCCAUGGGCCCUUCGUCAUCAUUUAUUUUCCGAAUAAAAUCUAGCAAGACCUGUGGAACUCCAACCAAAUACUUCACAAGGGUGUUUGUAGACACCUGUUGCGGAACCAAGUUGAGCUAACUGUCUCCUCCUUUCCAUUUGUUGUUUUGGAACUCCAACCAAAUACUUCACAAGGGUUUUGUAGACACCUGUUGCGGAACCAAGUUGAGCUAACUGUCUCCUCCUUUCCAUUUGUUGUUUCCACAAUAGAGCAUAUCGAGCGCGUAUACUUCCACCAGAAUUGACCAAAGCAUCAAUCUCCGCUUGCUUAUUCCUCUCGUUGUUGUGUGUUCCCCCCACAAUAGAGCAUAUCGAGCGCGUAUACUUCCACCAGAAUUGACCAAAGCAUCAAUCUCCGCUUGCUUAUUCCUCUCUGAGCGCUCCCGUUGUUGUCUAAUUAGUGUUCCCCGAAAAUCUUGAGGCAUGUAAGUCAUAACUGUAUUAAACACACGGUCAGAAUUCUUGGAUUGGAACAAUUCCAAAAUCUUCAAAGCGUUUUGAAGUUUAUCUUUGAGGUGUCUGAGAACAGUAGCAAGCUCAGCAUCAUCAGGUGUUGACUGCUGCUGAAGCACCACUGCACUGGCCAAUGAGAGGUGACGCCACUGCGUGCGGUACAUCUGAGACGUGGGCCCUCUUCAAUUUCUUUCCAAUGGCAAGAGUCAAGGCCUUUUACGCUACAACAUGAGUGCUGGCAUGGGGCAUCCUCGGAAGAAUAUCUGCCUGGAAAAUCUUGAGGCAUGUAAGUCAUAACUUUAAACACACGGUAUAGGUAUGCAGUGUUGGCGUGCAAAGAAUGUUCUCGAUUCUUCCACAUGUUCUCAUCGAUUUUAUGUGGAGGCUGACGGUCUGCUUCAUCCAACAAUAAUCUUUCAUCUUCAGUGGGAGGAAGAUGGUUGAGCAAAUCGUCAGCCAUCGAGCGAAUCUCGGAGGAAAGGCGAGAAACGUCAUCGGACGGAGGUGCAAAUGGGUACUUGUCGUAAUAAGAAGCCAGAUAACUCCUGGUUAUCGGUACCAGACCGUCGGUAGAAGCCAUUUCUUAUUUCUUAUCUCUUUAAUUUUCACAAUUUGAAUAAGGACUUUUUGCCGGAUCGACCGGAGAGAACGCCUAUCAAUUCCCUCUCACCACAUUCUUUACAUCAACAAGGACUCAAGGAGCACCGAAACAACGGUUUUGGAAGAGGCGUGCGGUACAUCUGAGACGUGGGCCCUCUUCAAUUUCUUUCCAAUGGCAAGAGUCAAGGCCUUUUACGCUACAACAUGAGUGCUGGCAUGGGGCAUCCUCGGAAGAAUAUCUGAUAGGUAUGCAGUGUUGGCGUGCAAAGAACGGAACAUUAUGGGUUCGGAUGAGGGGCGCCCGGAAAAUGUACGGAGUGAAAGUAAUGUUCCCCGAAAAUCUUGAGGCAUGUAAGUCAUAACUGUAUUAAACACACGGUCAGAAUUCUUGGAUGUCUAGUGUUCCCCGAAAAUCUUGAGGCAUGUAAGUCAUAACUGUAUUAAACACACGGUCAGAAUUCUUGGAUUGGAACAAUUCCAAAAUCUUCAAAGCGUUUUGAAGUUUAUCUUUGAGGUGUCUGAGAACAGUAGCAAGCUCAGCAUCAUCAGGUGUUGACUGCUGCUGAAGCACCACUGGCCAAUGAGAGGUGACGCCACU